UCUAUAUAUCAUACUCCAACUAUUUCAGGUGCUCAGAAAUUCAAAUCAGUGUUUGAUGAAUCAGCCGAAGAAAUGAAAACAGCAAUGAAAAACAAAACACUUAUUGAGGAUAAUGACGAGGAUGAUGAAAAAGAAGAUGAUGGUGUUGUCAAUACAAAGCCUGAUGCUAGCGACACCGAGCUGGCUGGUCAGCUGAAAGAUUUAAAAGUGGAAGAUGCAGACAACUCAACAUCAGAGAAAUGAAGCCACAUUCGAUAUUGCUUCAGUGACUCAAUCAAAGCGUCAGGAUCUAAAGUGUUCAAAGUGCUGAAAUCAGUUGUCAAAAAUAAAUCGUUGACUCUGCGUGUCCCA
rnacentral:sRNA from 1 species